CACAGGGGGAGAUAGAGGGACUGGUGGUGAAAGAGAAACCCAGAAAGGAGCUGUAAGGGAGGCGGGGCUUGACUGGAUAGCUGAAUGGAUGCAUAUUACACGAGCUCCUGAGCUCAAUAAGCUAAAACUACACUUACUUGCAGUCAAACAGCAAAUUCUACCGCAAAACUCACGGGCUGAAAAGAGGGGAUCGUGGUGAUCCGACUGACAACAUACUCGGAACCUCUCAGGUUUGGAUUACCAGCCCUCAGCCUUCUGCGGCCUACAAGCGCAUCAGGCGCCGGAGAGAUGCCGCUCUCCAGAGCUGACUCCUGCUAAUCAUAGCGGACAUCUGUCUCCCGGUCCUAGGAGGCUCUCCACCACUACACCCAAUGCCUCUCGGGCAGUAUCGCGGAGCAGCGUCCUAGAUGGCGGAGAACACAGGCAGCCCCACAACUGAGGCCUACCUUGCAGCCUCUCAGGCAUGUCUGAAUUGAAUCUUCAACAGUUUUUGGGCAAAAUUGGCAGCACGGCAGCCGGGUACACCAAAACCUGACCGACACACAGCUGAACCGGUGAAACCACAGACCUGCUUGCACAGACCCGCUAAGCACCCAGACAGACAAGAGGUGCCCCCGCAAGAUUCAGCGAUCACCGAAAACGCAUGCCUGUGACCCCACGGAGGCUUGGAAAACCCAGUAGAAAGCAUGUUGCAGUGGGAAGCAGGACGGGGCCCA